UACGUAGGGUGCGAGCGUUAAUCGGAAUUACUGGGCGUAAAGCGUGCGCAGGCGGUUUUUUAAGACAGGCGUGAAAUCCCCGGGCUUAACCUGGGAACUGCGCUUGUGACUGGAAGGCUAGGGUACGGCAGAGGGGGGUGGAAUUCCACGUGUAGCAGUGAAAUGCGUAGAGAUGUGGAGGAACACCGAUGGCGAAGGCAGCCCCCUGGGCCGAUACUGACGCUCAUGCACGAAAGCGUGGGGAGCAAACAGG
rnacentral:rRNA from 1 species